AAAGUGCUUCCUCCUUGCGGCGUUUUCGCUCUAUGGGGGAGGGGGGGAUAGGUGUUUCACGCCGUGCUAGCAACUAUCACGGCAAGGCAGCCAGCGCUGUAAACAGAUGCUACGUGCAGAGAAAGAACAGCGUGCCCGAGACGAGACAUGAACUGGGCAGCCAACCUUUACUGUAUUUGUGAUAGGCGCUAACCGUUGCGCCACCGCGGGCCGCUGAAUCUACAUCCUAGGCUUUUCUUAACAACAAUAUAUACAUCUCCAUUUAAAUUUCACUGUUGGGAAAGGUGUGCAACGAUUACUCUGAAAUUCAAAAUUAGAUCUUUCUUUAAAAAUUUCAUUUUUGAAAAGAAAUGUGUGUGGAAUUUUCAUGUUGUCCUUUUAAUUAGUACUAUACUCUACUGUGAUCUUUAGUUUACACUGACGUGUAAUAUACGUGCAGAUCUAAAAUAAAAUUAAAAAUAUAAAGUCAGGUACACCAUGGGUACACAUAGCACGUCCAUCUGUUUUGCGCAUGCGCUAAAUUUCAGUCUUUGUUUUCCGGUUCGUCUGCGAACUACAAACAGCUUUCGUACUAGAUCUUCCUCGUAUCCUGCGAUGGAUCAACCUAAAGACAUACGUGAUACAUCUCAGAACUGCUCCACUGUGUCAUGCACAAGAACAAGAACACGUGUGUGUCCCAUUUGUAAAAUAACAUUAAUGUCAAGAAAAGGGCUUCACAACCAUAACAAAAGAUUUCAUCCAGAAAUGCUAAGCUCAUCAUCAAAGAAAUGUGACAAAUGUGAGUUUACAUUUAGAAGGAUGGAAGAGCUGAUAUUUCACUGUCAGUCUGUUCAUCAUUAAGAUAUAAAAAUUUUGUGCUCAACAUUUAAGACAGAAGACGACUUCAAACAUUGGAAAGAAGAGGUUGAAAAAUCAAAAUCAGUGAGGUUCAUAAGAACAUCAGGAGCAAGAAAUACCAAAGGCUGCAUUGUUUCAUAUUAUCAUUGCAAUCGCUCUGGCAUUCCCUGCAUCAAAUCGGAUAGAAAACGGGCAGUUAAAAACCAGGGCUCAUGCAAAAUAGGCACCAU